GGAACCAUAGGGCAUAACAGAACUCUCAUG
rnacentral:piRNA from 1 species